rnacentral:lncRNA from 10 species
GCGCCCUCACCCUGGCGGGAGGUGGAUCCCCAGCGCGGUGCAGUUACAUCGCAGACAUGGGCUCGUCUAUACGCUGCUGGACGGCCGGGGUUAUUAGCUGCGUCACCACGUGUUGAGACGCGCGAAGGGCUCUGUUACCUCUUCAUGGUUUGAAUUGUUACGUCACCCUGGCGUUCUUGAACAAAGAAUUGGACAAAACACACAAAGCAAGGAAAGAAGGAAGCAACAAAAGCAGAGAUUUGUUGAAAAUGAAAGUACACCCACAAGGUGGGAGCAGCCCAUGAGGCUGAAGGGCCCGGUGACACAAUUUUCUGGGAUUUAAAUACCCUGUAGAGGUUUCCCAUUGGUUACUUGGUGUACACCUUGUGUAAAUGAAGUAGUGGACCAUAAUCAGUCUGAUUGGUUGCAGGAGAGGACCAACCAGAGGCUGAAGCGAAGUUAUAAAGCUAUACCCUAUGCAAACAUCUGAUUAGUUGCAGAAAGCAACCAAUCAGAGGCUGAAGUUACAAAGUUAUACUCCCAUGCAAAUGAAGUCUUGACCUGUGAACAGCCUCAUUGGCUGUGGGAGGGGACCAAUCAAAGGUGAGCAGGCUGAGGCACAGAGAAACUGACCUGCCUAAGCCACGUAGCUCUGUUGAUUCUUGGCCUGAUAUUCCCCCAACUUACUACAACCAACACAGAAUUACAGUAGACCGCCAUUGCCCUGCCAUGGGUAAGACCUCAUUGAUGGGGACACGAUCAGUUCUUCGUGAACCAUUACUGUUGAAGCCACCAUUCAUCAUUUCCAGCUGGUUUUCAAAAAGGUAGAAUAAAGUUUUAUGCGAAGAAAUCAGUUUUCAUUGUGAGAGCUACCCAAGCUAACUCAUUUUGGGACUCCGAAUAAGAGUAGAUAUUAAAAACACAAAGCAGAACAACUGCCCGGGAAAAUGCUCUAUGAAGGUAAGGUCUUCUUUCGAAUAUAAACAGUUCUGCAACCUAAAGGCUGUCAAAACUAGCCACUUUGGUAGGGAGAAAAAAAAAUCAUACAUGUGAGUCUAAGAGGUGGAGGUGAGAAUAAGCCUCCUGGGUCAGCAUCUUCUCCACUAUGGCCACUGAAAAUUAUUCAUAUUUGAGACUAUCUUAAGUGGCUACAGUGGUCAGAGAAUAUGACAUUACUAAGAAACAGAAGGGCACCUAAUUUGUAGAAUCAAAGCGGAUCCAGCUAUACUCACACAAAAUGCAGUCAAAUUAUUAGAGUGUAUCACUCAAAAGAUGCAGAAAGGCAGACUGAGGAAUUAAAACUCAGCAAGGAUCUCCUGUGCUUUACUGUGCUUUUCUAUGAAUGUCACUGGUAAGAUGGAAUCCCUUGGAUAGACCCCGCUCCAGGCCGGCAGGAUUCUGACUUUGUAGGGCUUUUCAUGUCCAACCCCAGCCAGUCUCUUUACAGUCUUGUGUAUAACAUACAAAAGACAUAUGCUGUGGAGGUUUUAAGUACUUAGAAAAGUAUGAAAACAGAAUUUGUGCCUAUGUCUGUAUAUUGUCGCAUUCUGGGGAGUGCCAGCUUGAUCAGGACUAAGGGUCAGGAUAAUACCAAAAGUUUAUGGUUUACUGUCAUCUGCAUCAACUGUCAUUUCCCCAAAAGAUGUUUCUGGUUCCCUUUACAAACGUCCAGCUGUGGUAGGAGGCUGAGCAUGAAGACUUAGGGACAAAGCAACUCAAACGAAAAGCAUUAUGAGAGGUAGGGUUUGGUCAGCAAAGGCCCCAUAAAGCAGGGUGUGGUCACUUCCUUUCUCAGAGGUCACUGUCCCCCACCUGGGUCAAGGACUAGACCUUCAAGAACUAGACCACAACCUCUGGGUCUUAAGUGAAAGGAAGGAGACCAGCUUUUCUGUCUACAGAUGUAUAGCCUCUGAUGGGGCCACCUGGGGAGGCUGGGCCAGGAGCCCAGAUGUACUGCCGCAUGAUACACCAAAAAAGGAUGCACCCAGGCUUAGCUGCAGAAAGGUGAGAGAAAGGAGCAAAAAACUAAAAUCUUAAAUAUUCAUGUUUGUUUUAAAACAAUUUUCGACACCAAUAUGUAUUAAGAAAACACAAGUUCAAAGUUGAAUUCAAAAUCCCCUACAUGGCUGGGCGCAGUGGCUCAUGCCUGUAAUCUCAGCACUUUGGGAGGCCGAGGCAGGCGGAUCAAUUGAGUCCAAGAGUUUGAGACCAGCCUGGCCAACAUGGCGAAACCCUGUCUCUAACUUAAAAAAAGAUAGAAAAAUUAGCUGGGCAUGGUAGUACACACUUGUAAUUCCAGGUACUUGGGAGGCUGAGGCAUGAGAAUUGCUUGAACCCAGGAGGCAGAGGUUGCAGUGAGCUGAGAUCACGCCACAGCACUCCAGCUUGGGUGACAGAGUGAGACUCUGUCUCAAAACAAACAAAAAAGCAAAAUCCCAUACAUAAAAAAGAUAUGCUUAAGAAGUGAGUGUACUUUUACCACGAUUUUCCUUUAUAUCUGGUAGCAAAUACAUGUUUUUUAAUCCAUGGAAACUGCAAAAAUCAGUUACAUGCAUAGCAACA